AUUGAACGCUGGCGGCAGGCCUAACACAUGCCAGUCGAACGGUAACAGGAAACAGCUUGCUGUUUCGCUGACGAGUGGCGGACGGGUGAGUAAUGUCUGGGAAACUGCCUGAUGGAGGGGGAUAACUACUGGAAACGGUAGCUAAUACCGCAUAACGUCGCAAGACCAAAGAGGGGGACCUUCGGGCCUCUUGCCAUCGGAUGUGCCCAGAUGGGAUUAGCUAGUAGGUGGGGUAACGGCUCACCUAGGCGACGAUCCCUAGCUGGUCUGAGAGGAUGACCAGCCACACUGGAACUGAGACACGGUCCAGACUCCUACGGGAGGCAGCAGUGGGGAAUAUUGCACAAUGGGCGCAAGCCUGAUGCAGCCAUGCCGCGUGUAUGAAGAAGGCCUUCGGGUUGUAAAGUACUUUCAGCGGGGAGGAAGGGAGUAAAGUUAAUACCUUUGCUCAUUGACGUUACCCGCAGAAGAAGCACCGGCUAACUCCGU
rnacentral:rRNA from 1 species